GGGUUGUGAGGUUAAGCGACCAAGCGUACACGGUGGAUGCCCUGGCAGUCAGAGGCGAUGAAGGACGUGCUAAUCUGCGAAAAGCGCCGGUAAGGUGAUAUGAACCGUUAUAACCGGCGAUGUCCGAAUGGGGAAA
rnacentral:rRNA from 1 species